UACAGAGGUCCCAAGCGUUGUUCGGAUUCACUGGGCGUAAAGGGUGCGUAGGUGGUCAGGUAAGUCUGAUGUGAAAUCUCUGGGCUCAACCCAGAAACUGCAUUGGAUACUAUCUGGCUAGAGGAGUGGAGGGGGGACUGGAAUACUUGGUGUAGCAGUGAAAUGCGUAGAUAUCAAGUGGAACACCAGGUGGCGAAGGCGAGUCCCUGGACACUUCCUGACACUGAGGCACGAAAGCUAGGGGAGCAAACAGG
rnacentral:rRNA from 1 species